UACGAAGGGUGCAAGCGUUAAUCGGAAUUACUGGGCGUAAAGCGCGCGCAGGCGGCGGUGUUGGCCCGGCGUGAAAGCCCCCGGCUCAACCGGGGAGAGUCGUCGGGGACCGCACCGCUUGAGGGCGGUAGGGGCUGGUGGAAUGCCUGGUGUAGUGGUGAAAUGCGUAGAGAUCAGGCAGAACACCUGGGGCGAAGGCGGCCAGCUGGGCCGUCCCUGACGCUGAGGCGCGAAGGCGUGGGGAGCGAACGGG
rnacentral:rRNA from 1 species